rnacentral:rRNA from 1 species
CGGCAGCGCGGGGAGCUUGCUCCCUGGCGGCGAGUGGCGGACGGGUGAGUAACGCGUAGGAAUCUACCCAGUAGUGGGGGACAGCCCGGGGAAACUCGGGCUAAUACCGCAUACGCCCUACGGGGGAAAGGGGGGGACCUCUUCGGAGGCCUCUCGCUAUUGGAUGAGCCUGCGUCGGAUUAGCUUGUUGGUAGGGUAAUGGCCUACCAAGGCGACGAUCUGUAGCUGGUCUGAGAGGACGAUCAGCCACACUGGGACUGAGACACGGCCCAGACUCCUACGGGAGGCAGCAGUGGGGAAUAUUGGACAAUGGGGGCAACCCUGAUCCAGCAAUGCCGCGUGUGUGAAGAAGGUCUUCGGGUUGUAAAGCACUUUCAGUGGGGAAGAAAAGCUUGAGGUUAAUACCCUCGGGUCUUGACGGUACCUACAGAAGAAGCACCGGCUAACUCCGUGCCAGCAGCCGCGGUAAUACGGAGGGUGCG